rnacentral:tRNA from 1 species
CAGGGAGACAACAAAAUGUUUAAUAUUAUUAUUUUGUCACCUUAGGUCGAUCGGUAUCUCACGUUUUUAAUUUAUUAAGAAUUUCAUUUCCUAAGUUUUUCUAGGUCACACCCAUUAUUUUUCCUGGGCCAUUAGCUCAGGUGGUUAGAGCGCACCCCUGAUAAGGGUGAGGUCCCUGGUUCAAGUCCAGGAUGGCCCAUAUCUCUAUGUUGGGGGUAUAGCUCAGUUGGUAGAGCGCCUGCUUUGCAAGCAGGAUGUCAGCGGUUCGAGUCCGCUUACCUCCACUGAUUACCACCUCUUCCAUAAUCUGUAGAAAGGAAAUGUAUUGAGUUGUGAUCAAAUCCUGAACGAAUCUAGCUUCCUAAUGAAAUCAUUAAGAUGCUGGACUCAUUGAAUUAAUUUCAUUGUUUUCACAGAACCUUGACAACUGCAUAGAUUAUUUUUUAAAGACAAUAAGCAUCUUUAAUGAUGCAGAUUUAUUAUUUGUGCGAAUGCAUUAAUAACAAUUCUAUUAAGCUGAUGCUUCAAUUUUGAAGUUAUC